GACGUAGGGCGCGAGCGUUGUCCGGAUUUAUUGGGCGUAAAGAGCUCGUAGGCGGCUCGUUGCGUCGGCUGUGAAAACCCGCAGCUCAACUGUGGGCUUGCAGCCGAUACGGGCGGGCUGGGAUUCGGUAGGGGAGACUGGAAUUCCUGGUGUAGCGGUGAAAUGCGCAGAUAUCAGGAGGAACACCGGUGGCGAAGGCGGGUCUCUGGGCCGACACUGACGCUGAGGCGCGAAAGCCAGGGGAGCAAACGGG
rnacentral:rRNA from 1 species